AAAGUUAGAUGCCGAGGAAGGCAAAAACACAACUAACUUGACGAAACACAGAGCCCAACUUAAAACACCACCAUUCGGAAACAGCGGCAGUCGCCAACUAUUCAGGGCAGAGCCAGACGCUGAUACCCCAACCUUUCAUAACACCACCGACUCUCUCGCUCUCUUUCUCUCUCUCCCCCUCUCUCCCCCUCUCUCUCUCUCUCUGUCAAUCUUCUUUUCUUCCUCGAGCCUUUGCAUUUCUCUGGGCGCCAAAACUCAGACCCAGAGUCGGAAUUUAACGAACAGGGAAGCAAAAAGAAGAGGGAUGGCGAAGAAGAAGAAGAAACAUUCUCAGGUUGAUGAACCCACAAAGAACCGAUUACUUAAUGCACUCCAGCGGUUCAACGUUUCAACUGAUGAAGUUUACACAUUCGAGGCCGGUCUCUCGAGCUUUGAACGAGAUUAAGUGCAUGAACAAUGCAGGAGAUGGAGUAUGAAAUCCAAGAUUGAGGGAAAGGGGAACAGCAGUGUAUCUCCGUUACCCACCCUGUCACUCGCUUGACAUUUUCCGAAGGCACAAAAGAAGUAUUAAGUGACUUGUUCAUACGUUACCCACCCUGUGCUCAUGUGGAGGACUUAGAAGUGUCUGGGAAAAGUAGUGAUAAGAAUGAGAGCGCCCAGAUGGAAGAGGGACACAAAGUUUCGCAAGCCCUUGAUGAACAAGGAAGAAAUUGCAAAGAAGUGGCAUCACUUGCUUCUAAAAUAAAGAACAACGUUGACUUGUGAAAGAUUUUUUAAGACAAGUCCAAGCUUCCACUUAUAUCCUACAAGGAUGUCAUUACAUCGACGGUUGAAUCUCAUCAGGAUAAUUUGAAAUUUACAUACUUGGUGCUUUAAAAGUUAUUAGCUAUUUGUAACAAAUAAAAGUUAACAGCUAUGAUCACAUUAAGCACGACAUUAUUUUUACAUUCCCUACUUUAAGUUAAAUAUGUGAUAGUACCUUACCUGAAAAUGAUUGGGUCUGUUACUGUUUACUAGAAUCUCUGUUUUGCCUACGGCAUUUAACCUUCAUUUGACUUGAAUGUAUUUCGUACAUAACUUUUUGGGGCUUAAUGUUUGUUCUAUGUUUGAAAACAGGUAAUUCUUGUAUCUGGUAAGACUGGGUGCGGAAAGACAGCACAGGUUACGAUUUCUUUGCUUUGUGUUCGUUAUGGUAUAUUUAUCACAAUGUGUCCUGAACCUUUGUUUCAAAGGAAUUUCAUUUCAUAUCUUUUUCUUUCUAUUUAGGCCACUCUCACAAAUUUCUCUGCGUCUUAGCAAUGAUAUGCAAUGAAGUGUAUAGUUGUUUUAGAGCUGCAGUUGUUCAUUUACUUUUUAGUAGGAUUUCUGUUGAAAUCACUCGGGGAGUAGCAAGAUUGGAAAAAAAUUGAUAGAUAAGAAAAGCAACUUAGAGCUUGAUAAGUAAGGAUGUUUUACCUAAGAGUUGUUGGUCUAGCAGUCAGGUCCUUGGUUUUGCUCCCAAGUGGUCUGGGGAUCGACCCUCUCCCACGGUACCCACCUAGAAAAUGCUAGAGUUCCUCGCUCCCCAAAUGUUGUGGGCGAGGUAGAGGGCCAAGUGAUUAUUUGGGUUAAAGACUCGGAUACACUAGUUUCAAAAAAGAAAAAAAAAAGAAAAAAAAUUAAGGAUGUUUUACUGUCUUAAGGCAUUUGUGGAGUGCAUGUACUGCCCUUGCAAGAAAACCCUAUUUGGUUGGUAAGCUGCUCAUAUAAUAGUGGGAUUUAUCUUCAGUCAUGAAUUUGGAGGCAGAUUUAUCUGGUUUAGAGCACUUGAGGAACAUGAACACCACUGUUAGCAGGAUACUUAUGAACUUGUAAAUUUAUAUGUGAUGAGAUACUCGUACCACAUAGUUGUGGGUUGAAUGCUUAGACACUCAUGCAUGAUAUCUGACACACAAAAA